UACGGAGGGGGCUAGCGUUGCUCGGAAUCACUGGGCGUAAAGCGCACGUAGGCGGUUCUUUAAGUCAGGGGUGAAAUCCUGGAGCUCAACUCCAGAACUGCCUUUGAUACUGAGGAUCUUGAGUCCGGGAGAGGUGAGUGGAACUGCGAGUGUAGAGGUGAAAUUCGUAGAUAUUCGCAAGAACACCAGUGGCGAAGGCGGCUCACUGGCCCGGUACUGACGCUGAGGUGCGAAAGCGUGGGGAGCAAACAGG
rnacentral:rRNA from 1 species